UUCAAAACAGUUCCCUGUUGUUUGUCGUUGAGAUAGAUACUUGUGAUCAUGAAAUUGGGGUAAUGUUGAUGCAAGAAGGCCAUCCAUUGGCAGAUCUUAGCAAGGGAUAGUUAGUAAGGCAUCAAUGCCUAUCAUUGUAUGAUAAGGAUCUUCUGGCCUUAGUGAUGGCUGUCACCAAAUAAUCCCAAUACCUGCAAGGAAGGCAUUUCAUCGUGAGGACAUAUAAGAAGGCUUUAAAAUUCUUGUUGGAGCAGAAGUUACAAACAGGAACAUAAAUGAAAUGGAUCACCAAGCUUAUGCAGUUUGACUUUGAAAUUGAGUACAAAAAGGGAAGGAAAACAAGACAGUUGACUCUCUUUCCAUGCUCUCCACAACUGAACUAUUUAUGAUCUCUCUUACACCUACUCAUCCUUCGCUCUUUCUAAGGAUUGAGAAUGCACAAGAGUAGCACCUAGAGAUGGUGGAACUUAUCGGCAAGGUCAAGGAGUAGGAGGAGGAUUUAAAGGGGUACACUUUCUUUAAGCAACAGCCAACUAAGGCAAGGCAUUCUUCAGCAAUGGGAUGACAGUCCUAGUGGAGGGUUUUAAAGAAUGGAGAAUACUUAUAGAAUGAUCUCUUCUCUAUUUUAUUGGAAGAAAUUGAGAGAUGAAGCUAAAUUUAUGUGAGGAAAGUGUGCAGUGUGCCAAAAAAGAAAAUAUGAUGUUGCAGCUUCCCCAGGGUUACUCCAGCCCUGUGCAAUUCCUUUUCAGCGUAGUCUAGCAUUAGAACGGACUUUAUAGAUGGACAACCAAAGACAAAGGGGAAAACUACUAUUUUGGUAGUGGUAGAUAGUUCUUCAAAUAUGGACAUUUCAUUGCUAUCAGUCAUCCUUAUACUUCCAGUUCUGUAACUCAAGUCUUUCUGGACCAUAUCUUCGAGCUCCAUGGUAUGCUAUAGAAUAUUGUCAGUAAUCUUGAUCCUGUUUUCAUCGGUGGCAGGAGAUGUUUUCAUUACAUAGAGUUACAUUGAUCACUUCUUCAACUUAACACCCACAGUCGGAUGGCCAAACCAAGGUGAUGAAUAGAACUGUAGAGAACUAUUUGUUGUGCUACAAUUCAGAUAGCCAGCAUGAUAGGGCAUUAUACCUUUCAUUGGCUUAAUGGUGGUAUAACAAAACCUUUCACUCUACAAUCCAAGUAGCACCCUAAGAAACGUUUCAUUGUCAACCUCCUCCCAUCCAUCUGCCUUAUUUAGCUGGGGAAGCCUCAACGGAGGAGAUAGACAGGAGCUUGAUCACAAGGGAGUUCAAGAAUCAGUUGCUCAAGUUCCACUUACAUAGGGCUCAACAAAGGAUACAGUCUUUAGCAACAAGAGUAGAAGUGACAGGCAGCAACAAGCGGGAUAUUGGGAUGAGCGGAUUAUAAGUUGUCCUUACAUUCUCAUGUGACUAUCCACCCCACAUUCCAUGUGUCGCAGCUCAAGCUUUGCCAUGAGGUUCCAGUGACAUUUGACCACCCUCUAAUGGUGGAUAUUCCUUGUAACACCCAGUAAAUUCGGCUUAGGUAUGAAUGAGUUAAAUGAUUAGUAAGGUUAUAUUUUGGACGUGUGAAGUACCAUCGGGAUGAUUAUGUGUUAAAAUAUUUGUUUCAAAAUCAAGAUGGAAAGUAAGGUGCAUAAGAUUUGACAAAAUCGACUAAGUCUGCAGAAGGUCUGACGUGAAGCAAUAUUUAGUGAAACUGUGUAAGGAAUUUGGGAAAGCUCAAAGCAUAAAAGUUGUAGUCCUUUGAAAUAUCUUUCCAAUGAUAUAUUAUGCAGCCCAAACGGAUCUCUGUGCAAAAGGGUAUGUGCGUUUUACAUAACCGUAUAUGAUAUACGCGCCCGGCAGCGCGCCUAUAGCGCGACCGCACUAAUUUUGAGGCAGUAUUACCGCGGUUUUGCGCGGUCAGUAGUGCGGGCAGGUCUCCAGCUGCACGGGCACGCUCGUGGAGGAUCAUUUUAAGGUCAUAUUUCGUCCUCACAGUCCCAAAACAUAAAAACUUGUUCUAGAAAGGUCCACUCUCAAAACCUAACUCCUUAAGGGUUCUUCCACCACCCAAGGUAAGUUCUAAUGGUGAUUCCAAGUUAAUUUCAAAUUUUCAAUAUCUUAUUACAUGGGUAAAACCCUACCUAGAACUCGAAUUCAAGAAGAUUGAACGUCGAGAAGGUAAUAUCUUCACCCUCUUAUUGAUUCUAGUAUUGGGUUAAUGAUUAUAGACUCUAGUUCAUGAGAUAUGAGUUAAUGAGUUUGAUAGAAAAGCAUGAAUGAUUAUAAGUUUGGGUUGUUGAUUGUUGAUCAUUGGUUAAGUGUAUUGUUUACUGUCGACUCUCCCUUUUUCUAAGAGUCAAAAUUGGGUUUACGAAAUUUGGGAGGACAACUCUAUUCACUUUCGAGAAUUGGGUUUUGAAGUUGAAGAGUCGCCACCUAAUAAUUAUAGUGCAUUAAGACACUUUAAGAAGCGUUUGAACUGUAGAAAACCAGAGUUCGGGUAAGGGCUAGAAAUUAUAUCGAGGGGAAGGUGUUAGGUACCCCUCAUGAUCCACAAGUGUGGUUCCCGGCCAUAUUACAAUUGUGACUUUACAUAAACACAUAAUCAGUUAAGGCUCAAAUAAGGAUUUGCAUAUAACAUUGCAAUAAGUUGAAAAAUUGUGAAGAUAAGUAGAGAGAGCAAGAUUUUAUGAAAAGAAUUUAAAGAAAAGCUGAAAGCAAGUAAACGAAGAAAAAUAAGCAUGUAUAAUCCCACCCAAUUUCACUAUAAUCCCGGUCAUUCAUCACAAACUAUUACAAACCGGGAUAGUUGAAAUACAGUAAUGAAAAAUAAAAUAAGAAUUUAUUCUAUAGGGAGCCUUCAACCAGGCCCAGCCUUCCAACCUCACUUCUUUCGAGUUUCACAACCAUUGUCUGGGUGCGGCAAAGCUCCCUAGGGCCCCAUUGGGUCCCUGGCCAAUAUCAGCACCCAAACAUUUACCAAAAUAUUAAAGAAGUGCAGUGUGGAAUUACCAGCCUUGUGCAUCAAAGUUCAUUGAGCACUUACAAGGUGCCCAAAGAAAUGCUUACACUAAAUGGGUAGAACCUAAUUUCUAAGAGUAGUGAGAGUGUAUUGAUAGAGUUUUUUCUUUAAAAUAAAUUGAGUUGAGAAAAGAAAACAGUUUUAAAAAAAAAUGAUCCAUAUGGAGUCAAUUCUUGAAAGAAACAACAGAAGAGUGUGAUAGCUCUUGUAAGAAGGGGAAUAAAACAAUCUUAGACUAGAGUAUCAUACAUAAUUCAGGGAAACAACACAAACAGGGGACAUGGGACAAGUAGUUCAUAUGUAAGAACACAAUUGCAUAUACACAGACAUCAAAUAAUUUAUUUCAGAACUUAGACAGUCACACCAGGUUUCAACCAAAAAGGUUCAGGAUUACAUGUUGAAAAGGUACUAGGGCUAGGGGGCAGGGGAGAACAUGCAUUAAGCAAAUCAGUAGGCAUGCUGAAUUAAGAGAAGGUUAGCCACACUAAUGAACUAACACAGAGGCAAGUUAGUUGUAAUGAGAACAAUAGAAUUAUAAGUAAAAGCAUAAAAUAAACAAAAUGAAGUGCAAUACCCAUAAAAUAUAUUAUUUUGAAAACUGUAAAUCAAAUAGAGGACGUACUAGUAAAAGAGCAAAAUAGGAUGCAAAGUGGUAAUACUAUGUUGGCAUUGGCUUUCAACCUGCUGAUAAUGAGUAGGAGCAUAGAGCAUUAAUGGAGCAAAAGAACAAGAGAACAAGAGAGCAAGAGAGCCAGAGAGAUUUCGAAAGUAUUUAGUGAUGUGUGUAAGUCAGAAGACUGUGUGUGUUUUGUGUAAAGACAUAGGGUAUUUAUAAUUGAAGGUAGGUGAUAAAAUAAGGUUAAAAUUACAGAAAUAUGUUAACUGAAGAACUCGGAAUCAAUUAAUGAAAGAAACAAGGAAGUACUCCCAUUAAUUAAGGGAAUCAAAAUUAAACGAGAAUAUUCAACACCAUAUAGGGCAGGUAGAAAAAUCAAUAUACGAAUUAAUACGGAGGGGAUCAAGAUUCAAUAUUGCAUAUAGCAGCCAACUAAGACCAAAUUCAGGAAAAUUCUAAUAAAGAAAAGGCUAAAGAAUAGAGUACUAUAACAAAUAAAGUAACAAAACCAAUUAAUUUAAAAGGGCGGGUAUAAAGCUAGGUUUUUUAAAAGAAAGUUUUUGAAUUACUAAUCAAUCAAGGAAAAUUAUAAUCAAUCAUGUGAAGUCAUGAUUCUGCACAAUUAACAUAUAAAUAGAGGGGAAUUAACAAGAGUAGCGAACAAAAGUAGCGAACAAGAUUAGACAGGAAGGAACAAGAGAUGAACAAGCACAACCACUCAGAGAUAGUGGAAACAAGUUAAGAUUCAGCAGGGCAUAUUCAAAGCAUGGUGACCAUGAAACAUUAACAAGAAUCAAGAAAAUAGGCUAGCAGACAUAACCAAAGCAAGAAAAAUCAGGCUAGUACACACAAUCAAAUGAAGAAACAUGCUAGGGACAAAGCAAAGGAAAUUAGGCUACCACAUAUAAUCGAAGCAAAGAAACAUGCUAACAUACACAAUCAAACGAAGAAAUAUUUUCUAGAAAUUAGGGUUUUUAACAGAGCCAAACUAAAAAAUAAUAAGAGCAUAGAAAUCGAUCAGAAUAAACAAAGAAAAGGUUUUAAUCAUAAAGAAAAUCAAUCGAAGCAUGCAUAAAAGAAAUCCAAGAAACCCUAAGUAAAAAAAUGGUUCAAAGCAAAGGAUCUUAUAGAAUAAACAGAGUAUAGAGGAAAACAUGAAAAUAGCAUGAAAUAACACAGUUUUUUGAGAGCUUCAGGAGAGAGUUAGGGUUUCAUCCAACUUAAGAAUAACAUUAAAAAUAGCACUGGGAGUCACGAUCAGUACUUAAAAAUCAGAAAAAUAAAGUGAUUUUGAAAAAGGGGGUUCAGAAAUCCUAGUUUCAAAAAAGGGAACAAAAAUGUUUAAAUCAUGAACAACCGUACAGAUUAAGUAGAGAGUAGUGUAAACCACAAAAGCGUAAGUUAAAAAUUGUUAAAAAAGAUAGAGAUUUAAGAGGUCUAGUUAGAGGUUAGGGUUUCGUAAGAAACCAGUGAGAGAUGAGAGAAACGUGGCUAUGAAACUCAGUGAUAAUGGUGUCCACAGCACCAUCGGACCAACACCCAUAGGAGAAAAGUUCAGAGACAAACCAGACCAAUCUUCAGUGACAAUCUCGCAUGGUGGAGGCUUCUGGGGCCUCAAGAAUAGAGGGAGCCAACGAGGUAAAGCUUCACGAUGACUAGUGGUUGAAGGAGGUGAGGUUGGAGGCAGCUGGAGAGGCGGUG
rnacentral:lncRNA from 1 species